CGGUGUUUAACUGGCGUGAUGUGGGACGUCCUACCGGUGGGCUUAGCCUCGCGAGGGGCGGCCCAACUAAUAUCCCGUCGCGGUGCUCUUUACUGAGUGUCGAGUCGGGCCGGUACGUUUACUUUGAACAAAUUAGAGUGCUUAAAGCAGGCUAUCCUCGCCUGAAUACUGCGUGCAUGGAAUAAUGGAAUAGGACCUCGGUUCUAUUUUGUUGGUUUUCGGAACCCCGAGGUAAUGAUUAAUAGGGACAGAUGGGGGCAUUCGUAUUGCGACGUUAGAGGUGAAAUUCUUGGAUCGUCGCAAGACGGACAGAAGCGAAAGCAUUUGCCAAAAAUGUUUUCAUUAAUCAAGAACGAAAGUUAGAGGUUCGAAGGCGAUCAGAUACCGCCCUAGUUCUAACCAUAAACGAUGCCAGCUAGCGAUCCGCCGAAGUUCCUCCGAUGACUCGGCGGGCAGCUUCCGGGAAACCAAAGCUUUUGGGUUCCGGGGGAAGUAUGGUUGCAAAGCUGAAACUUAAAGGAAUUGACGGAAGGGCACCACCAGGAGUGGAGCCUGCGGCUUAAUUUGACUCAACACGGGAAACCUCACCAGGCCCAGACACCGGAAGGAUUGACAGAUUGAUAGCUCUUUCUUGAUUCGGUGGGUGGUGGUGCAUGGGCCGUUCUUAGUUGGUGGAGCGAUUUGUCUGGUUAAUUCCGAUAACGAACGAGACUCUAGCCUGCUAAAUAGGCGUACCUUAUGGUAUCGCGAAGGCCCCCGGCUUCGGCCGGUGGGUUUUUACUACCAACGUACAAACAAAUCUUCUUAGAGGGACGGGCGG
rnacentral:rRNA from 1 species